rnacentral:tRNA from 1 species
GAGGGUAUAGCUCAAAUGGUAAAGUGUAUGCUUAGCAUGCAUGAGAUCAUGGAUUCAAUCCCCAGUACCUCCU